UAUUCAAAAAUAUAAAUUAUGACCUAAAAAGGUUGACAGAUUUUAAUAAUUAAGUUCCAACUUCAAACUUCGUAACUAGUUUAAUUUAAAACUAGAUCCAAAUAAAUUAAUAUAAUUUCUCAAAAAAAUAACAUAAAAACUCGAUAACACAUUACGUAACUUAUAAUAAUUUCGGAACCAAAAAUUUAAAAUUUCCCAAUUCUAUUUCCAUAAUCAUAAAUCAAUUUAUUUUCGAUUUUCUCCACAUAUUCAUAAUUAUGAAUAUCUAUUUCCAUAUAUUUCAAAUUUUCAGGGUAUUACAAGCUAGACCAACAAAGGAUAGAGAGCACCUUCUAACAAGGAGUAGACCACCUGAGUGGCCAGACACCUGGGAAUCCUCCCCACAUCCCAUUGAGCAGGGGUGCGCCCGUGAAGUCAUAAACCAAUGAAGGAUUUGAGCAGAGGAUGACGCUCAAGAGAAGGAAACACAAACUGUCGAG
rnacentral:lncRNA from 1 species